rnacentral:rRNA from 1 species
CAUGUAGGCGGCAUGACAAGUCUGGUGUGAAAUAUCUCGGCUCAACCGAGAAAACGCACUGGAAACUAUCAAGCUUGAGUAUCGGAGGGGAAGCUAGAAUUCCUGGUGUAGGGGUGAAAUUUGUAGAUAUCAGGAAGAAUACCGGUGGCGAAGGCGAGCUUCUGGCCAGAUACUGACGCUGAGAUGCGAAAGCGUGGGGAGCGAACAGGAUUAGAUACCCUGGUAGUCC